rnacentral:SRP_RNA from 2 species
GCUGGGCGUGGUGGCGGGUGCCUGUAAUCCCAUCUACUCGGGAGGCUGAGGUAGGAGAAUUGCUUGAGCCCAGGAAGCAGAGGUUGCAGUGAGCCGAGACUGUGCCACUGCACUCCAGCCUGGGCAACAGAGCAAGACUCCAUCUCAA